AGGCAGCGAGGGCAGAGCGCUGCGGGAUGGGGCUGGGAGGUUUGGCUUAGGCUCGGAGGAGGGCAUCGUCCGGGCCUUAUGCAGCUCUGUUCAGACGUCAGGCAGUGGUGCUCCCCUGCAAGGGAAUAAGUGUGACACAUGCGUUCGAACUCACCUCCCAUCCACGACAUUAGUGGUUAUAAAUAUCCCCUGAGUGCAGCUGGCUACAGGCAGCACUCAGCACACUACUAGGAUACUUCUCCUCAAGUGAAUGAGGACGAUCUCGCAGGGAAGCCAAGCAAUGUACUGGCUAAAAAUGAAGUCCCCGAUAUGCACCCAGGUUUGAGUACUGGAGUUGUUGAUCUGUGAAGUUUGCCUCUGCCUGCUCAGAAAUGAGGUCUCAGUGAGCAGUGCAGCAGCACUAACACCAGCUCACCUCUGAGCUGCUGGGGACAGUGAUGGCUUUAGAAGAGAGAUGGAUCCAGACCCUCCACGUGCUUGCGAGCAGCAGUCACAACUGCAGUAAAUCAGUUGAUUACAUCCCUGCUAUCCAGACUUGAUGGCAACUUUUCUGGCCAGUGAUCAGGCAUCUUUCAGUUUUUUUCUUCUUCAAACCGAACAUCUCCUAAAGGAACACCAGGUGUUCCUCCUACCCAGCCUGAUGUGGUUGCAGCUGCAUGGUGUUGCAGUUAGCCUAAUCACUGCAUACCCACUCACCUCUGUUCCUCUCAACCUGGAGCAAAAGGCUGUUCUCCAGCUUUCUGCUGAAGUCUGCCAGCUGUCCAAAAUGGAUUCAGGAAAAACUGACAAACCAGCCUGGCAGUGCACCCGGAUGAGUAGUGAACAGAUAGGAACUCUACCUGUGCCAAUGUAACCAUGCCAUGGUGGUCACUGUACUACAGAAGGACUUUCUACAACUGAGCACACCCAGCAUUUCAGCAGUGCAGUAUAACUGCUCAAGGACGCUGAUGGGUUUGCAGAUGCCACUAACUGGGCCCAUGGCUCUGCUCUCUAAGGCUGUGCUCCUUCCUGGGGCACGGAGUGAUGGGAAGUUUAAUGCUUUGGUGUGACAGCUAUGUUGGUCGUUUUUUUGUGUUCCUUCUCUGUGAAAAAUACUGUAGAAGCAAUGUUGGUUUAUGUCAAUUGUUUUGUUGAUGGAUCUGCCUGGUAGCUGAGAGGAACUUGAAAGACUCCGACGGUGCUGCUGUUUAUGAGGCAGCCCCGUGGAGCGUGGCUGAUUCCUCUUCAGCUCCUAGACCUUGGCUCUGAUCUGCUGAUCUAUGGACUUUAUUUACGGGCAGGACUGGCGAAUCCUUUCACCAGGCAGGAAUCACGGCAUGUUUCCUAGGCAACAAGCACGGUGUGUGCCCUGACGGGACCUCAGCCUGUAGCUAUGCUGUGGCCAUGCCAGGCCAUGAACUAUAUGCCAGGCUUGGGCCUGCGGCAGGCCCAGUGCCAGCAGUCCAGGUGGGGACAGGAGGAGAGGAUGCCUGAGUGCAGUGAGAGCGAGCAGCUCCGUUGUUCUGCCUCAUCUCCCGUUUUCCAUUACAGGUGUUGCUCACAUCUGGUCUUUAUCACAGUUGUUGUGUUGCUGGAUAGUUCCUUUGUGUUACUCCAUUCACUUUUCCUAUUUAUUGUCCAGCAAAAGGCAGCGGCUGCCAUCAUGCAUUCACCUGACAGGUAUUAGCUGAGAAACAUCACAUGAACCCCGCUGGAUCUAGAGUUUGGUCCUAUGAAAAGCUACAGGAACAAAAAUUUUCCUGCAAACUGUCACCCUACAGCAGUCCAUGGUCACAGCAGAUCAUGUCACUGUACACUGUGAGGUUAAAUAUUUGCUCAGAUCUUACAGUAACUGCAAGCUUUUUAUGGAGUCUUCUUCACAUUUAACUAGGAAAGUUCCCUCACCAGCCACAGAGUGGUCUGCAGCUUGCUGUGCUUCCUCACCCCACGCUGAUGUGCCAGCCCUGGCUGAGACUGAACAUUCUUACUGAACUUUGCAGCUCCUGCAGCUCUGCUCUUUUGAUGAGGUACUCCCCUCAAGCAGCCGCUCUGUGCUAUAAGUAUAUGGUGUACGUGUACCUUUUUGCUUUUGCCCUGCUUCCCCCUAACCAUAGAAGAUGUGAAAAUUAACAGUUAUCAUUUCCAGUUAAUCUUCUGGCACCACCGAAUUCUGACUCAUGCCCUUGAAAACUGAAACUGAUUCACACACCAGCCAUUCAAGUUAAACAUUUCCCUCUCCGAUUUCCAAAAAUAUGGAUAAAUCUUGUGGAGCCAAACUAACUAAAAAGUAAUGUUGUCUUUAAAAAGAAUUCGUGAAGAUUUUAAAUCCCCCAGCAGCUUGAUAAUUUCCAAAUCUUCUGGAUUUCAAGUUAUAUUUAGGUAUAGAUUUUUCCUUCAAAUUUAAAGCUCAUGCUUUAAUUCAAUUUAAUUUCAAGAUCAAAGCAUGCUAAAAACCUUGUGUGAAGAAAUUCAUAGGAGGAUGUUAGCUAAGAAUCCUGUAAAUGGUGUAUUUUCAUUGGAGAGAGAGUAAUGCAGGACUCCAGCCUCUGAGUCUGACCUGGUGCAUGGCAUCAGCCUGCAAAUCAGGCAUGGUACUGAGCACUGCUGAACAGGCAGUGGGGUCUGAUUGAGUUACUGGUCACUGAUAAAAGCAUUUUGGUUGGGAAGGACUGAAUCAGACAUUGGGAUUUUUAGCCAUCUGU